rnacentral:rRNA from 1 species
CUGCAUGAAGUUGGAAUUGCUAGUAAUCGCAGAUCAGAAUGCUGCGGUGAAUACGUUCCCGGGUCUUGUACACACCGCCCGUCACACCAUGGGAGUCGGAAAUGCCCGAAGCCGGUGACCAAACCAAUAAGGAAGGAGCCGUCGAAGGCAGGUCUGAUAACUGGGGUGAAGUCGUAACAAGGUACC